GACGAACGCUGGCGGCGUGCUUAACACAUGCAAGUCGAACGGAAAGGCCCUGCUUUUGUGGGGUGCUCGAGUGGCGAACGGGUGAGUAACACGUGAGUAACCUGCCCUUGACUUUGGGAUAACUUCAGGAAACUGGGGCUAAUACCGGAUAGGAGCUCCUGCUGCAUGGUGGGGGUUGGAAAGUUUCGGCGGUUGGGGAUGGACUCGCGGCUUAUCAGCUUGUUGGUGGGGUAGUGGCUUACCAAGGCUUUGACGGGUAGCCGGCCUGAGAGGGUGACCGGCUGAAGUGGGACGGAGAUGCGGGCGAGACGCCUACGGGAGGCAGAAGUGGGGAAGAGUGAGCAAGGGGCGGAAGCCGGAUGCAGCAACGCCGCGGGCGGGAUGACGGCCGGCGGGUUGGAAAACGCUGUCGCCUGUGACGAAGGGUGAGUGAGGGGAAUGGGUAAAGAAGCACCGGCUAGCUACGUG
rnacentral:rRNA from 1 species